CUGCCUUUUGAUGCAUCUGACCGAUUACCGAUAGCUCACGCCACCUGACGGAUGACGGAAUAUCUCAAUAGUAAUCUGAUGUACAAGAGAACUGCAAUUCCGGAAUAGAGGAAACUCCUACAAGACUGUGGCCAGUUUAUUAUCAUCGUUUUGCGCUGUUUC
rfam:Clostridiales bacterium 41_12_two_minus Ley3_66761_scaffold_4466, whole genome shotgun sequence.